AUGUAAAUUUUUGUAUGAGGUUUUAUUUAUUUUAAUAAUAAAUAUUUUUUUUUUAGUCGCAGUAAUUAAUAUUAUUAAUUAAAGAAAUUUAGAUAUAGUAAUAUUAUUUAGUAUUGGCAAAAUUUGUGCCAGCAGUCGCGGUUAUACAAAUAAUACAAAUAAAUUUUUUUCAGUGAGAGUUAAAUUUUUAGUAUAAAUAUAAAUAAAUUUUUAAGGUGAAUUUAAAAUUUAAAAUUUUUAUUUUUUUUUUAUUGAAGCUCGAAAAUUUUAUUAAUAAACUAGGAUUAGAUACCCUAUUAUUUAAAAUGUAUAAUUUUGCUAGAGUAGUAGUAGUUAUGUUCUUGAAACUAAAAAAAUUUGGCGGUAUUUUAGUCUAUUCAGAGGAAUCUGUUCUGUAAUCGAUAAUCCACGAUGGACCUUUCUUAAGUUUGUUUUUCAGUUUAUAUACCGUCGUUAUCAGAAUAUUUUAUAAAAAUAAUAAUUUUCAGUAAUUUUUAUAAAAAUUUAUAUCAGAUCAAGGUGUAGCUUAUAUUUAAGUAGAAAUGGAUUACAAUAAAAUUAUUUAAAUGGAUAUAAUAAUGAAAAAGUUGUUGAAAGUGGAUUUGAUAGUAAAUUUAUAAAGAUUAAUAAUUUGAUUUUAGCUCUAAAAUAUGCACACAUCGCCCGUCGCUCUUAUUUUUAAGGUAAGAUAAGUCGUAACAUAGUAGAUGUA
rnacentral:rRNA from 1 species